rnacentral:lncRNA from 1 species
UGCAGGUGUGUGGAAUCCAAAUGCAGGAAAUGGAGAACAGACAGCUCUUCCCCUGUCCCAGGAGACCCACUCUGCUUCUCAGUAAAGGACUGAGUAAACUGAGGCUUCA